rnacentral:rRNA from 1 species
UAAACUUUAACUUACGCCGAAAUUGCCUGGGAAUUACGAGCUAAGCUUUAAACCCAAAGGACUUGACGGUACCCCAUAUCCCUCUAGAGGAGCCUGUCCUAUAAUCGAUACCCCCCGCUUAACCUCACCAUUUUUAGCUUCUCAGCCUGUAUACUUCCGUCGUCAGCUUACCGCAUGAGCGACAUCAUAGUAAGCCAAAUGUCUACAUCAACACGUCAGGUCAAAGUGCAGCAAACAAAAUGGAAAGAGAUGGGCUACACUUUCUAAUUAUAGAAAACACGAAAGAUUGACGUGAAACCUCAAUCUAAAGGUGGAUUUAGUAGUAAAAAGAAAAUAGAGUGUUCUUUUUAAUCCGGCACUGGGGUGCGUACACACCGCCCGUCACCCUCUUCGCACACCUAACCCUAGUAAAUAACAACUUUCCAUAAAGUAGAAGAGGCAAGUCGUAACAUGGUAAGUGUACCGGAAGGUGUACUUGGACACGUUACAUAGCUUAACCAAAGCCU